rnacentral:lncRNA from 1 species
GGGCCGGCCGCGGGCAGGCGGGCAUCUGGCGGCCGAGGCCGGGACUUCGGGGCCCCUCCCGGGCGAGUCGCGGGGCGGCGGCGGGAAGGGGCGCCGCACGGAGGAAGUGCCCUCUUGGCCGCAGCCAGAGCCGCGCCGCAGGUGCCGCGAUGUCGUCCUGGCCGGGGCGCGAGGAUGCGAGGGCUGGGGGCGCGUGGUGGCCGCGGGAGCCGCUGGAUCAGGAACUGCAGCGGGCCCGGGAGCAGAAGCGGCGGCGGCACGACGCCCAGCAGCUGCAGCAGCUCAAGCGCCUGGAGUCCUUUUAUGAAAAACCUCCUCCUGGGCUUAUCAAGGUUGGCAUUGCAAAUGGUAUGGUCACCGAACAGGCUACAAAGAAUGCCCUUUCUUUAUCAAAGACAACCAAAAGUUACAACAGUUCAGAGUAGCACAUGAGGAUUUCAUGUAUGACAUCAUACGAGACAAUAAACAACAUGAAAAGAAUGUAAGGAUACAGCAGUUAAAACAGUUACUGGAGGAUUCUACCUCAGGUGAAGAUAGGAGCAGCUCCAGUUCCUCUGAAGGUAAAGAGAAACACAAGAAAAAGAAGAAGAAAGAAAAGCAUAAGAAAAGGAAGAAAGAAAAGAAAAAGAAGAAAAAACGGAAGCACAAAUCUUCCAAGUCAAAUGAGGGUUCUGACUCAGAGUGACAAGGAUGUGACUUGUUCAACAUUCUCUUCUCAAACACUGACCAAGGAACAGAGGAAGAUGCAGUCAGAGAAAGUAGCAGGAUAGAGACGCCGAGAGAGGAGUAUAUGUGGGUCACAGCAGUGAGCUCCCACCCGCCUUGCAGUGAAGAUGUGACCCCAGGAGAGGGAGUGUCUCCUUCCAGGUGCUAGCUCUGGACAGCAGCUGAUUUUAGGCAGGAAAGUUUCUUCAUCGUUGUCCUCCCUGCUGGUCACAUGAGUUUACGAUUCCUUAGAAGUGUCUCCCACAGGGUGGCAGGACUGGGAGAAUCUCUGAGGCGUGUCUUCCAGGCCCUCCCACAGCUUGUGCCCUCCACAGUGUAGACUUGAACACUUGGCCUCAUGUGAUCCUUCCACCUUGGCCUCCCAAAGCAUUGGGAUUACAGGCGAGAGCCACUGGUUGGCUAAAAUAUUUAUAUUUACCUGACAUGAUUUGUUGAUUUGGGGGCUAGGGAGUUCUUAAAACAACAAUAAAAAAUCUUCUGUGGCUGC